UCCCGGAUGGCGCAGUGGUUAACGCUCCUGCCUAGUAAGCUGGAGAUCGCGAGUUCGAAUCCCGGUCCGGGAC